rnacentral:rRNA from 1 species
UACGUAGGGGGCAAGCGUUGUCCGGAAUCAUUGGGCGUAAAGAGCGUGUAGGCGGUUUCCUAAGUCAGGUGUGAAAGCCCCGGGCUCAACCCGGGAAGUGCACUUGAAACUGGGAGGCUAGAGUAUCGGAGAGGUUGGUGGAAUUCUCGGUGUAGAGGUGAAAUUCGUAGAUAUCGAGAGGAACACCGGUGGCGAAGGCGGCCAACUGGACGAAUACUGACGCUGAGACUCGAAAGCGUGGGGAGCAAACAGG